ensembl:lncRNA
GGGAGAGAAGCAAGGGUCUGGAACGAGCUUGCACUGAUCCCACAGUUCGGCUGUGGAUUAGGUCUCUGAGUUUCUACCAUCUUACUGAAAACCAUCUUCCAGCCACUGCAGCCCUUGCUUGGACCUUGGGUGGGCAGAGUGAUGCUGUGUUCCCCGGAGAGCAGACCCUUGCAGCUUUGUUGAGGCUUGAAAGUCCCUUGGACAGCAAGGAGAUCAAACCAGUCAAUCCUAAAGGAAAUCAAUCCUGAAUAUUCACUGGAAGGACUGAUGUUGAAGCUGAAACUCCAAUACUUUGGUCACGUGAUGUGAAGAGCCGACUCAUUGGAAAAGACCUUGAUGCUGGGAAAGAUUGAAGGCAGAAGAAGGGGAUGACAGAGGGUGAGGUGGUUGGAUGGCAUCAUCAACUCCAUGGACAUGAGUUUGAGCAAAUCUGCACUAUCCAGGAGUUGGUGAUGGAUAGGGAAGCCUGGCGUACUGCACUCCAUGGGGUCCACAAAGAGUCAGACACAACUUAGUGACUGAACUGAACUAAACCAAGCUCACAGGACACCUUGAGGGGGAUGGCUGCCCUCAGGAGACAAGGCCUCCCUCCUAAGUAUCCCAGGCAGCUUCCUCCACCACCCAGCCCCACCUGACCCUCUCUGAACCCAGGCCUGUGGUUUGGCCCAUCUCCUCACCUGGCUCUGCACACACAUGGGUCCCAGAGACUCUGGCUUCUGGGUUUCUUUGAAGACAAUGUGCCUACUUAGAGCAGAUCAUUUUAAAGGUACAUUGCCUUAGAGAAACAGUGAUUUGAGUUUCCUCUACUGUGAACCUAGCAAGGGCUACGCUCUCUGCUGGACGUGUUCCUAUGUCGUAGGCUCGUCCAAGUUUUGUGUUGCUUCUCAUCUGUGAUCAAUUCAACAAAUGUGCAAUAAAUGACUAUCACCUGCAAGG